AUUGAACGCUGGCGGCAGGCCUAACACAUGCAAGUCGAGCGGAUGAAGGUAGCUUGCUACCUGAUUCAGCGGCGGACGGGUGAGUAAUGCCUAGGAAUCUGCCUGGUAGUGGGGGACGACGUUUCGAAAGGAACGCUAAUACCGCAUACGUCCUACGGGAGAAAGUGGGGGAUCUUCGGACCUCACGCUAUCAGAUGAGCCUAGGUACGAUUAGCUAGUUGGUGAGGUAAAGGCUCACCAAGGCGACGAUCGUUAACUGGUCUGAGAGGAUGAUCAGUCACACUGGAACUGAGACACGGUCCAGACUCCUACGGGAGGCAGCAGUGGGGAAUAUUGGACAAUGGGCGAAAGCCUGAUCCAGCCAUGCCGCGUGUGUGAAGAAGGUCUUCGGAUUGUAAAGCACUUUAAGUUGGGAGGAAGGGCAGUAAGUUAAUACCUUGCUGUUUUGACGUUACCGACAGAAUAAGCACCGGCUAACUUCGUGCCAGCCGCCGCGGUAA
rnacentral:rRNA from 1 species